AGGCUUAUAUCAUCUCUCCUUUCAGAUGUGACAACGCCUAGCCAGGAAAGUGGCAGCCAGUACAUCACAGUGGCUAACAACAGCGUAGCCAGCAGUGAUCGAGAUGAUGGGACAACAUCAUCACAUGUAACAUAGUUAUGCCCGAGUUAAAUCCUAUCACAUAUAGUUAUCAUAUCCAGUUAAUAAAUUCAUUUCACAAAGUGUUCACAA
rnacentral:lncRNA from 1 species